AGAAGCAAAACAAGUGAUGUGGAGCAAAACUCAAAAAAGACGGUCUCAGUUCGGACUGAAGGCUGAAAUUCGCCUUCACGAAGUCGGAAUUGCUAGUAAUGGCAGGUCAGCAUACUGCCGUGAAUACGUUCCCGGGCCUUGUACACACCGCCCGUCACACCAUGAGAGUUAGGAAUACCCGAAGCCUGUGAGCCAACUUUAUAAGAGGCAGCAGUCGAAGGUAGAACUAAUGAUUGGGGUGAAGUCGUAACAAGGUACC
rnacentral:rRNA from 1 species